CACAGACACUCCCACACAAAAUCCUCCCCUCUGCCUGUGAUAUGAUUACUGAACACAAUUGGUAAUAUAAUUAUCACAGGCAGAGAAAUACAGUUUUUACAAAAUAUUAAUAACUUCCAAAAUAUACAUGCUAUUCACAUAAAACAUACAUUUUCAGAAUCAGCAUGCUUGAAAUAUACACAUACUCAAAAAUCAGGGGAAUCGGUUCAGGGGUUAAAAGGUUAAGGAAAAGUCCUAUUUGACCAAAUGAAGCAUGGUGCGGCUAUUGCAUAAAACGGGUACAUUCAACAUAUCCUCAGAUAGCUUAGAUCUGAACGCAAAUUAUUACUGAAUGACGCUCAGAUCACAUACAUACAGUUCAAUUGCCAUGGAGCCAAAGUCUUUCACAUAGUCUUUCGUUCUACGAAUGGUCUCCAUGGCAUAGCUAUCUGGGUUAACACUGCUCACAUAGGGAAAGUAGCGAAUGACCCGGCUUUCGGGUCUUUGCAGGGGAAAAUUCAGCAUUUCAACAUGGGGCCAUAGUCACAGGGCAGGAGGCUGGCAAUCAGUCUUCUCCAAUGCCCAGUGGCGAGGUCGGUUUCGCCACAGAUACAAAUAAAAUUAAGAAGGACGUCCCUUUCAAUUGUGCCUUUAUGUCGAGAUUUAACAGUCAUCAUAACGUGAUAAGAAAAUGUCUACAAAAAUAUUGGUCUAUACUGCUGAACAACCCUACUAGGGGACAAGUAUUACCGCAAAAACCCUUAAUAAGCAGAAUAAAAAUCUCAAGAACACGAUAGCACCUAGUUAUAUUAAACCUAUUGAACCACACCAUCCCAUAACCACAAACAAAGGUUUUAAAGGCUGUCAUAAUUGCAAGGUAUGUACUAUGGCAUCUUUAAUUGGCUCCAAUACUUUUUUCUGUUCUGCAACAGGUGAAAAGUUCUAUAUUAAUUCCUAUAUAGGGUGCCGCACGGACUUUGUGGUAUAUUUGCUGCAGUGUCCAUGCGGUAAGCAAUACGUACGACGUACAAAAAGACCCCUUAAAGUUAGAAUCAUGGAGCACAUCCAUAAUUUAAAAAAACGUUUAGCCACUCAUUUGGUUCCAGUGCACUGACAGUAAUGUCCAGCGUUUAACUUUAAUCAAUUCAUAUGUAGGGGCAUUGAGCAAGUCCUCCCACAUUGGAGGGGGUGAGAUAGAAUUAGGAAGUUAUCUCAGAGGGAAACUUACUGGAUACGUAGGCUACGGACACUGGAGCAAAAUGGGUUAAAUGUGGAUAUAGACUUGAUAUGUUUUAUUUAAGAGAUUUUUAUUUAAAAACAGUCUUAUGCUAACAAGAUAUGUGGGAUUAUCUGUUAUAAUCUUUUAUUAGGUUUUUCGAUUUUGAUAUGUUUGAGAAUUUAUCUCUUUUCAUUUGCACUCAUAAAUCCUAACUCUAUUUUAGGAUUGCGUUAAUUUACAGUUAAAGUUAUAUCUUAUUUAAUUGACACAUACGUGACCAAUAAGGAUUAUGGGUUCUAAUAAAUGUUUCUUCUUGUAGUGGUUUCUUCACCAUUUACAUUAUUUAAUUUUCCGAUAAGAGGACUUUUAAAAGUACCGUCAUACGGCUGAGUAUGAAAAACAAAAAAUACGCAUGAGCAGCCACUAGCCGAUCACACAGAGAAAAUGACGUCCCUGGAAUGCAUGGAAAUGUUCCGUGAAAUACACGUCACUACCGCUAUUGUGAAGGGUUAACAG